rnacentral:tRNA from 1 species
GGAGUCGAAGCCACAGCAGACCGGCACCGGGUUUUUACCCCGGUUGGGUGAGGUUGCAACUACCUCCGGCUCCACCA